AGAGUUUGAUCCUGGCUCAGGAUGAACGCUAGCGACAGGCUUAACACAUGCAAGUCGAGGGGCAGCGGGGAGUAGCAAUACUUCGCCGGCGACCGGCGCACGGGUGAGUAACACGUGUGCAACCAACCCCGUACCGGGAGAUAACCCGCGGAAACGUGGACUAACAUCCCAUGAGACUCGAGAGCCGCAUGGCUCUAGAUUUAAAAUUCCGGUGGUACGGGACGGGCACGCGCGACAUUAGGUAGUUGGCGGGGUAAGGGCCCACCAAGCCGACGAUGUCUAGGGGUUCUGAGAGGAAGGUCCCCCACACUGGAACUGAGACACGGUCCAGACUCCUACGGGAGGCAGCAGUGAGGAAUAUUGGUCAAUGGGCGAGAGCCUGAACCAGCCAAGUCGCGUGAGGGAAGAAUGGUCUAUGGCCUGUAAACCUCUUUUGCCAGGGAAGAAUAAAAGGUACGUGUACCUUCUUGCCAGUACCUGACGAAUAAGCAUCGGCUAACUCCGUGCCAGCAGCCGCGGUAAUACGGGGGAUGCGAGCGUUAUCCGGAUUUAUUGGGUUUAAAGGGCGCGUAGGCGGGACGUCAAGUCAGCGGUAAAAGACUGCAGCUAAACUGUAGCACGCCGUUGAAACUGGCGCCCUGGAGACGAGACGAGGGAGGCGGAACAAGUGAAGUAGCGGUGAAAUGCAUAGAUAUCACUUGGAACCCCGAUAGCGAAGGCAGCUUCCCAGGCUCGAUCUGACGCUGAUGCGCGAGAGCGUGGGUAGCGAACAGGAUUAGAUACCCUGGUAGUCCACGCCGUAAACGAUGCUCACUGGAUCUUGGCGAUACACGGCCAGGGUUCAAGCGAAAGUAUUAAGUGAGCCACCUGGGGAGUACGUCGGCAACGAUGAAACUCAAAGGAAUUGACGGGGGCCCGCACAAGCGGAGGAACAUGUGGUUUAAUUCGAUGAUACGCGAGGA
rnacentral:rRNA from 1 species